UGUGCCUUGUUGCUUGCCGGCAUCUUAAUCAGGCACAUGACCCUGUUGAUCUUGCUGGUGAAACUGUGAAGG